CAGAGUAGGAUACGUGCUGAAAGUUUGCUGGCUCCCAUUAAUUUUAACAAGAACUGAAGUGAUAACCACUGGUGAUAUCCAUCAGUCCUGCUAAACUAAGUCCAGCAAUCCUAAAAUCUUGGUGAAGAGGUGAAGAGGACAAGCAUAGACUAACCAUUCCAAGAUUUUCCCUAUUUAUCCUCUUAUCAUCAAGAUGCUUGGCAACUCACAUUUCUUACAAGUACCAGAGAUAAUUCAAUUCAACACUUCGUCAGAAAGGAAGCUUAUGUUUACACCUUUCAUUUUGGUUUGGGGUUCGAAGAAUGGACUAAAUCCAACAAAUGGCUUUAUGUAGUAAAUCUAACAAUUAGAUUAACUACUUAGGAUCAUCAGAGUGAUCAAACAAAAACAAUUUUCCCUGAAUGGUUUAAACACACAGAAAGAAAGAAACUACACCCACCAAAAAAAAAAAAAACUAAACUCAACUGAAAAUAAUGUUUGAUGGUAAAAACUAAUGCUUAUAUACCCUUAAGGAUACAUGCCUACUUAUAUACACGUGCCUGCAUAACAGAAAAACUGUCAGGCUAAGAAUUUAUGUUAAUUAUUCUACAUAACAUACCUGCAUAGAUGGCUGCAUGAUUGGCGUUCCGCCUGGAGCAUUUUCAUCACUGCAAUGCAUGGAAGUCCAUAUCAGAAGAAAAAAGCACAAAAGCAACUGAUAUUAGGCAAGAAAAAUAAAAUGAGACAAAAAACAUAAAGUUAUUUACUUCAUGUAAUUCUGGAAGUAUAGAUCUUCACGGACUUUAGAAGUCAGCUCCAUCACAAGUUCAGGAUGUUUCAAUUUCAAAUGUUUAUGGACAAAUUCAGCAGCAUGGAAGAGCUUCGUACAACCCUUGGCUCCACAGCCAUACUUCCACCCAUACUUCUCAUCCCUAAUUUUGCGGACAUACGGGUCUAGGGCUUCGACAGCAGCUGCAUCAAUCUUCUCCUUUGCUGUCAUCACUUCAAGUGGAUCCUGUCCCUUCAGCCUCUCCUGCCAACGCAAGUCCAAUUUCUUUUCCCAUUCAGCCCCAUUGCUAGUUACAUCAGGAUUUUUUCCAUCCACUCUUACAUGUCGUAGACCCUUAGCCUCAUUGGUUUCCGACAUUCCAUAGUAAUCCACCCCAUGAAUGCGCCAUAGAUAAGUAAGAAGUGUAUCUAGCAACUCAAUUCCCUCCAAGCCCUUGACUGAAGUUAAACCCCGUAUGAUAAUGACAGGUCCAGUCGAACCACCAUGAGACUUGUCUCUGUUCAUCCUCUCAUUAUCAGCUCGACAUAAUAAAUUGUCUUCAAUACCUUUUUCUGAAUCAAGUUUCCGUACAAGUGCCUGUGCUUGUUCAAUGUCAAUCUGCAUCCUCCUGGGCUCAGAACUAACAGGGUGAGCCUUCGGAGCAGCUGAAAGAAGAUCAGUCUCUUUAGCUGGCCCCCUUCCAGGCCGUCUUCUUUUCCCGCCAGCAUCUGUUUCAUCCUCAGAAUUAGGGUCACUAGACUGUUUGCUGGAUGAAGCAUUAACUGCAGGACCUCUGAUUCAUGCACAGAAAAAAUAAGUCCAUAUGUUCUAUAAUUAACAAAAACCAAAAAGCAUAAUCUGAAAUUACAUAGGCCAUAUAAUGAAUUGAAAAUCUUACAAAUCCACUGUCCCACUCUGCAAAUCAAGCAAAAAGUCUUUUGCCAGCUUUCGAGCAGCCUCAUUCCUCCUAAAAUAAUACAACAAAGAACAUAGUAAAUAUUUCCCAUAGAGGCAAAAAGGUUGAACACAGAAAAUAUUUUCAAAUUUGAAAGCCUUAUGAGCAAUGCCCAAACAAUAAAAGAAGAACACACCUUUCAAUAACAGAAAGCAAAUUUGUCGGAUGAUACUUGUCUUUUAACCUACAUUGGAAAAUGGCUCAUCAGAAACAAGAGGUGGCAGAGCACAAACAGCAAAAAACAAGCAAAAAGCCUGGAUGUACCAUUCCUCAUCUUUAUGUGCAUCAAAGUAAGUUCUCUUCUGGGUCGAUAUAUAUUCUGACUUGUAUUCUUGAUACCUACAUGAAGAAAUCAUGCCAUCCAUUGACUUUUAAAUGCACAAAUGAGAAAUAGGUAGGCUAGGUGCGAAGCACAGAUGAGAAAAGAAAAACAUUUAUCUAACAAAGGUCCAACUGAAUUGAAACAUCUCUAACCUGCGCUCAGCUUCAGACGGUAAGAUAUCAUCUUCCAGCUCCUGAAUGAACUGCUUAUAAGACAUCAAUCCUUCCCUGCAAUAAAAAACUUUUUGUGACAAUCUAUUUGAACCAACUUUUCAUUAAAUGAUAACUAGCACUACAACAAAGAAUUCAAUUCUUUUUCUCACAUAAAUAACACCAUGACACAUUUUGAACUGAGUUUAGACAUUAUAGACACCAAAAUUUGUUCAAAAUAGUAGAAGCAUAUUAUACUGGAUGUUCAACAACCAAAUCUUGUUCUUCUAACACUACAGACAAAGACAAGGAAUCGGUGUCUCUUAUAAAUUAUAAAACAAAUUGUAGCAUUGGAUCUCUUUCAAACCAUAUUUCAACAUCUAUAUGAAGUAUGACUCAAUGAGUACCUCUGAUUGCUCCCUGCACCAAAACCAUCGACUAAACCACUGUGGCCAGAAUCCCAAUCUGCAGACAUAGACAGACAAAUAUUAAACCAUUUACAUGCUAGAUCAAAGGUGCAAAAUCAAGAAAAUCUCAAUUCCUAAUUUACUCUGCACUCCCACGACUCAAAAGACCAAUUUCCCACCGUGUAAGAUAGACAAAUCCUGACUAAAAGAUGAUGAAAGGCAAAAUAAUCACCAAAUAUACAAACAGAGAAAUGCAUACAGCACAAGUAACAAAAUGUUCCCCACCAGAUUUUAACUUCUGUUUAUCCGAAGACUAGAGUUUGAGAUAGGAAUUGCACAUUUUACCUAAUCCGUACAGCAGCAAUGUAUUGAACAACAUAAAUCCUCAAGUUAUUUCUUAAAAAAGAUAUCCAAUUUUGAAAUAGCAAUAGACUAGACAGAAUUCCUAAUUCUCAAAAAUAGAUAUUUCAACACUUUAAUCGAACUUAAGCAAGUUUGGGAGGGUAUUAUCAGAUUGUACUUGAAGUAAAACAUUUUCAAUCAAACCAGUAAAGAAAAUUUGUCUAAAUUUCAACAGUGUAUCACUAAAAGCAGAACAUGGCCAGUAUCAUAAUUUAACACAGAUUUGGUUGGAGGGUUUUGGGGGUAGGCAAUGGUUAUCACCAUUAAAUGAUGGUCAUUGAUAGUGCUUGGUAGUCUACCAUGAAAAUGAAUCUAUGAUAAUGGAAGACCCACAAUCCUUCAAUCAUCAUUCCUGAGUAAUUUGGGCACUUUUGCCUCUUAUUAACUGUAAGACCAAAAAAAUAGGAAAAGAUAUUCUCCAAUUUUGUCUCCAUUCUCUCAUUCUCUCAUUCUCUCUCUCUCUCUCUCUCAGACUUCGUCAUCACCACCAGGCACCAACUACCCCACUUAUUUCUACCACUUGGCUUGCCCCUCCUCUAUUCAUUGGUUCUCCCUCCAAAAUGGAUCAGCCACAGGCAAGCUAGAGAGACAGUUGAGGUUUCUUCUUCUUCUUCUUCUUUCCUUGUUCAGUUGGGUUAUUGUUAACAGAAUUCAUAUAGGGUUUUAGAAACUUGAAUUAAAAGUGAGUAAGUGUUGGUGGGAUGUUGUGUAAUCAUUGUGGACUGAUUUCUGUGAGUAGGAGUCGGUGCUAAUGGUGGUGAGUUUUCAUACUUGCACAAAUUUGAAACAAAUAAUUUGUUCAAUUUCAAUUGAUAUUUUUGUUUUCCCAAAACUGAUGGAGAAAAUUUCAAGAACUUGAGAAUAAUCUUUGAAGUUAGGGAUGUAUGGGUUCAUGAUGUUAUAAGGCAGCUACAGACUGGUGGUGAUGGUGAGUUUGCGUUGCAAGAGGUAUCCAAGCCCGUUAGGAAGCAAGAAAGAACAAUUGAGGAAGAAAGAAGGAAAAUAAUAGUAGACAUUAAAAAAAAAUAAAAAUAUUCAGUAGAUACCCAUUGCAGUACAUUUACCAAACAAAUGAAAAAGAAAUGCUAAAACCUAUUACCAUUGAGGACCUUUUCAUACUCAUUGCCCAUGUCAUUCCAGAGUGCACACCAAACAGGUGGUUAAUUGUCAUAAUACAUGUUCAAUUACCAUAUAUGAAUAUUAGCAACAUUUCAAAAUUUAACACAAAAGGAACUUACUAGAAGAGAUCUUGUUCGGGGUUCUUUCCCUCUUAUGAGAAUCCUGGACCCAAGAGUUAGAGAGUAUCCAAUCGUCCAUUUUGUGAUUUACUUACCAGCAAACUGAUCUAGUUCAGACUUACAAGACUCUUAGAGGUCACUAUGCUAAUCUAGUGAUACAUGUUUUAAUGCAGUACAAAUCAUGCGAGCUGUGAUAAUGAAUCACCAAGUCAGCUUUCUAAAUUGUUGCAACCUCUUUUGAGAGAUGUCCACCCCAUAUUCUUCUAACUUCUCAGGGAAAUGGCCCUUAAUGUCUCUGCUAUUCUACUAUGUAGAAUGACAUAACUUAGCAAGUGAUAUCACAUCCAUGGCAUAAUUCAGGCUCUAAACCAGCACAUGGAAAAUGUAGAAAUAAAGCAGGUAAAAUGGUUGUUAUACCAAAAAAAGAACAAUUAAUUUCAGAUGUCUACUGUCCAUCAAACAGCUUCAAAACUCUCCAUAAGAAAGGAAAUUCGUACAAUUCUGUAUCUCGACAUAUGAGUUUUCUCAUCAACAUCACAACUAAAAGCAACAUCACAAAUAAAAGAGAAUGGCAAUCCACCCAUGUUCUUGCCUAAUUCACUCAAUUCUGAGCUUUUUGAACAUGAAAUGAUUAAAGAGCCCAAAAGUAGUGUUCCAAAAUUUGAAUCCCAAUAAAGGACAAUGACAAAGGAGAACGAUAAUCCAUCCCUGGUAUCGCCCAUUCACUAAAUUUUCAACUUUUGAACAUGAAAUGACUAAAAAGCCCAACAGGAGUGUUUCAAAAUGUUAAUCCAAAUUGCCCUUCCAUAGAACCGAAAGCAAAAGACAUAACUUAGACAAGAUCUUCGUAGACGAAAGAGUAACAAAGUCUAAGGUUGCAAGAAAAAAAUGCCAUACUGGAAAGAUGCCCUUCUGAAAAUAAAAAUCAGUGUUUCAGAUGGACCACCUUGGUUGCCACCAGCUGAGCGGCCAAAGAAUCGACCAUGAGGCCUUUCAUCAGGAUAGUUAGGCCUGCCCCCCAUUUCACGGUUGUAUCCACCUUGGUAAUCAUAAAACCUGAAUCAACAGAAGCAACAUAAGUACAACACCACAUAAUAUAAAGACCACAACUAAACUAACACAAAAAAUUGAGUUCCCUUAAGGCGAAAAAGAAGUAAAACAUAAAUUAGUUCUUUCAAACAGAAUAUACAAAAAACAACUUGCCCCAGAUGUCCUAAAAAAGUAACAGAAUGCAAACAAGAAUGCUAAUUACAAGAACUAAACAAAUAUUGUCCAUAUCCUGAAGAAUGGCACCACACAGAAAAUUGUAAUUCUAAAACUGUGAAACCAACUGCUUUCCCAGGACAACAAGAUUUGUAGCAAGGAAGACACACAUCAGUAAAUUCUCAGAUGAAGCUAUCUAAAAAGUUUCAAUAAGUCAGGGAUGCCAAUCGUUUUUAGGAGGUGUAAUAUAAAGGAAGAACACCAAAACAAAGUAAAGGUAGUUUAAUAGAAUAUAGAAUAUCAGUUAAGAUUAAUAAAAAAUUCUUGUGAAUAACUUAAUAUAGCUUAGAAGAGGAACGUGCACACUUCAACAAAUGGAGGGAGCUUACAACUAACAAAACUAAAAGAAGUAUGCUGAAAACAUAGAACAAAGCAUUAAGAAGGGUAAUGGGAUGUAAUAAACAGUACGGAAGAGCCUUUAAGAGCAUUUGAAACAGACAACACACAAACCAUCCAUCAGUACAGCAGUGAUCACCAGUUCUAAAACAUUUGAAUCUCAAAAAGAUACUGUUGAGCAAAACCCCAAAUUCAGUUCGUUGAACCUCAUCACUCCAUCUCUAAGCAAUAGCUGUUGCUCCAACUGAUGCUGUUUACACAGUAUCAUUCAAUUACCCCUUUAAUAUCAUUUCAUUUACUCAAAACCAUAAAGGACCUAUCUUAGUUCUCCAGCAUUAAAAUUUUCAUUUUUCUUUAUCUAUACAAACACUAAACCAAAGAGAACAUUCAGAAAUCGAGUAGAUAUUUAGCACUACAGGUAAAUAAAUAAUGGUCUUUUUUCAAUCAGUCUAACUGAAGAAGUGGAGCACGCAGGUCCUGAUUUUAGGAUUUAAAAAAUUUAUUCAUGUUUUAGCUAUUUUACAUUUACAAAGAUCCUGAUCAGCAAAUUAUACGUUUCAAACCAGAUUUAGUACCAAUAUGGUACAAAUUGGAAAAACCUAGCCUACAGAUGAGACUGCUGUCCCACGCAACUAUUAUACAACUCAAGUAGUUAAACAUCCUUAGAACCAUAUCCCUUUAAUAUGUUCAGAUAAUUCUUGUUCUCAGCCUUUAUCUAAGAUAAAGUAACGGUCUCUCCAGCUAUCACAUAUUCUAAAACACAUGGAGGAACUGAAGAUGAAGACUGGACUCUCACAUAGCACCACAUGCAUAUUCGUCACCUAUCAUCUUGCUAGUUCCUCCAAACUAAUCAAACUCAGAUUUUCUUCUACUUCUCAGAGCAGGAUAUUGAGAGCUCAAAGGCAAAACAAUGUGGAAAAACAUUAUCAGUACAGGAGACCUAUGUUACAUGGACUCGGGUGCGGGGGCCGGAUAUGGGUGCAUGUCUAAGUGUUAGAUUCGCAUAUUUGAAAAUUGUAGGAUCCGGAGAUAUGUGUCCAAUUUCGGGUACGAGUGCAGUGGUGCACUCCUUAAACUCAUAGAUGGAUAAGAUUUUUAGAAAUAAAUUAUUCUAAAAUUUAUGCACAAUGAUGUAUAAAGUGUAUUUUAAUAGAAAAUUUCAAUUAAAUGUGCAAUUAGGUUGAAAAGAAGCAUAACCUUGGUUAGAAAGGUAAAUUUUUCAAGUAUGAGGGGCUGAAAUUAUAUUAAAAAGUGCAAAAUUGUCAAGAGAUUAAGUUACUUGUUGAAAAUGAUAACUAAAGUCAAAAUAUAGGGAUUUAGUUGCAAAAUAAAUAUCAUUGUCAAACCCUAUAUUCCUCAUCCCUCAUGCAGCAGUGCCCUCACCUCAUUUAUAGAGCAUUUAAAACGAAUCAAAAACGAAUCAAAACAGAGCACCUCUUCUCCAAAAACAAAGCCACUCUUACUCUUAGAUGCCAUCGUGGCUACAAUCCCAUAUCCGCCAAUGAAAGAGAAUUAACAGCCCAUAGAGCCACCCUUCUUCCUCUUCCACGCUCUUACCAUCAAUGAAAAUACAGCAGGUGUCGUGAGUAUUUUUUAUUCAAAUCUCUAGCAGCUUUCUCCUUCUUUCUUUCUCCCCCGCAGAGCCACCCUUCUUCCUCUUCCACUCUUCCCAUCUCAUGUGACUUCUUGUCCAUCUCUCCUCCUCCGCCAUCAACAUCACAUCUUGCACAUCUCACAAUAGUCAACGCAUCCAAAAGUUUGUUACCAUAUCAGUACAGAUUCCGUACCUGUACCCGUACCCGUACCCAUGUCGUAGUGCAUCUGGGGUGAACAGCGAGUCCGUGUAACAUAGCAGGAGACCCAUUAACUAUAGGCAAUAUCAUACUAUGCUCUCAGCCCUUGGCAUUAAUUAUUGAAUCCUGUAUCACUACUUACUAGUUCAAAACCUCAUUGUCUAUCAAACUACUGAACCAAGGGCGGAAACUUGCAGUUGCAAAUUCAAAUAAAAUGUAAGGAACAAAUAUAUAUCAACUCGCAAUAUGAUAGAUAAACUAAAAGGGAGCCUUUUAAUCCAUGAUGAAAUAAUAAUCUCAAUUAUAAGCCCUUGCAGCAAAAACGCCCCUAGUUUUUGCAGAAAUUUACCCAAAACAGCCUAGACACUUCACCCAAAUACAUGCAGGGAGAGACACAGCCACCAACACUCCACUCCGAAUCAUCAUCAACAAAACCCAAACAGCUAACCAUUACUACUACACAGUUAUUAAAGCAUUUUUAAUGCAUUUUUUGGAGAAGGAGAAACUGCAGCACUGACCUUCGAUCCCCAGGUCCAAAACCACCUCUGGGGCUACCACGUCUGCCAUCAUAAUCAUCUCUCCUGGACCUCUUAUACGGUGGAAAUGGAGGAGACCUUCGAGGAGGCGGCGAAUGACCCCCUCCUCCUCGCCGGUCACGAUACGGCGGAGGAGGAGGACUAGGGCUAGGUCGACCUCGCUUGUUGUAAUCCCUCUCUCUAGGUGGAGGAGGAGGAGGAGAAGAACGGUUCCGAUCAUAAUAAUCCCUACCACGACGAUCAAAUUCCCGGUCAUCUCGCCGCUCUCUCGAGUCUCUCUCCCUAUCUCUCCCCCUCCUCGCCUGCGGCGGCGGAGGAGGAGGAGGCGGAGGCGGCGAAGAGCCACCCUCUUCGGGGGAUUUGCUCGUGUUUGCUGCUUCUUUGUUGUUAUUGCGGUCACGACGGCGGUCGAGGUUGUCGACGGGAGCAUUCAUUACUUCCGCCAUGGGAAGUGGCGGUGGAAUGGAUUGCCGCGGCGGUGGUGGUGGUGGAGAUUGGAAACCCUAAGUUAGGUGUGUGAGUGUGUGAGAGAGAAAGAGAGAGAGCGAGGGAUGAGGUGUGAAGGUGAAGGGGAUAUUGGGUAUCAGGGCCAGUGAGUCAAUCGAGAUUUUGGGGUUUUCCAGUUUCUCUUCUUUUUUUUAAAAAUUUUUUUUGGUCUUUUUAGCCUUCCGCGCGGGGGAGGGGAAUUUUCGUUUUUCAAGAUCGAGGGAGAGAUUAAAUAGUACUAACAAAGAGAAAGAAAAGAGUCCAUAAAUGAUGCGAGUGCAAAAGAAAAUAAUCUCUCUAUUUUUGGGAUUUUAUUGGGAAUGUAUUUUCUCAAUUGUUUGGAGUGGAAUGCAAUUUCUUUCUAUGCUUUAGAUUUUAGUGAGUUUUCUAUGGCCCAAAUGAUAUUUGUUUACUAUUUCUUUGCAUAGAAUAGACUCAGUGAAGGAUAAAAUGUAGGCCCCGUUUGAAAUCUGAGUUUUUUUGAAAGUUUAUCUAAAACUUUACCAUAAUGCGUUGUAGGAGUUUUGAAAAAAAAUUUUAAGAUAAAAAUUUUUUUUUUCCUUUUUUUUUUCUUUCUUAUUUUCUUUCUUUUUCUUUUUCUUUCUUUCCUUUUUCUUUUCUUUCCUCUCUUAUUCUUCUUCUCCUUCCCCCUCCCCUUCCCCCCCGCCACCUCUGCCUCCAGCUUUGAAGAACUAGCAGUCAUGGUCAAGCCAAUUUUUUUUUCUUUUUCUCUUCCCCUCUUCUCCCUCUCCCUCUCUCUCACUGCUCCCCUCUCCUCCUCUACUCCCCUUCACCCUCCCCCUCUUCCUCCUGAAGCCAGAGAACCAGCAGCCAUGGUUUUUUCUUUUCUUUUUUUUUUUUUGCUUUUUCUCUCCCCCUCGUCUCCAUCUCCCUCUCCCCUAAAGUUGUAAACGAAUCGAAUCAAGUUGAGUAACUCAUGUUUGAGCUCUGUUCGUUAAGUGAUUCGAACAACGUUCAUGUUCGUUCGUUAAUUUUCGAACUCCAAACCUGUAUUCGUAUUCGGCUCAUUAAGCAAAGUUCAUGUUUGAAUUCGAGUUCGUAUUCGACUCGUUUAACAUAAACAAGCCGUUCGCGAACAUGCUCGAAAUGCUCGAAUCCAAAUUAUUUUAAGCCUUAAAUAUGCCAUACAAAUCAUUAAUCAUUCUAAAAAAUAAUUAAAGCACUAAGUGACUAAAUUUUAUUAUUCAUUAACUAUAUAACUAACAUUGACAUAAAAAUAACAAAUAAAACCCUCCAAAUAUCAAAGUCUAGUCAUAAAAUUAACCCUAAAAUUUGUCAAAUGAUAAUUAUGUCCAUGUUCGCGAACGUUCGUUAAAACUCGGGAACAUGCUCGUGGUCGCUCGAUUAUUAGUCGAACAAAAAAAUUCGUUCGAACUCGGUUUGUUUAAGAUUUCGAACGAGCCUUUCACGAACACGAACGUGUCGAAACGAACCGAGCUACCGAACAGUUCGGUUCAUUUAACAGCUCUACUCUCCCCCCCCCUUCUCCCUUUUCCUACUUUCCUUCCCUUCCCCCUACCCCUUUGCCCAAUGUGAUCGCGUGACCAGAUCGCAGCUAGGGGAAAUGGGAGGGUGGCCGGGGAGGGAGAGGAAAAAAAAGAAAAAUAACCAAAAGAGGGGUUGCAGAUCGGUCAAAGGGGGAAAGGGAGGUUAGGAGAGGGGGAGAGGGAAAGGGAAAAAAAAAAAGGGAGGCCGGCGCCAGAAUAGGUGACCAGCGCAGGAGGCAGCGGCAGAGAUGGUGGCCGGCGAUGAAGGUGUGAUGGAUCGGAGUGGGGGAGAAAGAAGAAGAAAAGAGGAAAUUUUUUAUAUAUUAGAUAUUUUGAAGUGUGUAGAUUAAAAAAUUUGAUAAGUUUUUUUGGGUUCCUGUAACUAAAGUUGUUAAAAAAACUAGUAGCUAAAAAAUUUGACCAAAAACUCGGGUUCCAAACAUGCCCGUAAAUUAGUCACUUAUCAUGCAUAUUCAUCGAACAAAAUUCGAAAUAUGUUAAAUAUGCCUAAUUUUAAUGAUACUAUCAUAGUAGUAUUUCUGAAUUUCGAUCGAAACCUAAUCACAUUUACAUGUUAGUUCCCAUUCUCGCUAAAUGGCAAAAAAAAAGGGUGGGAAAACGUGCACAAUUCAUCCAUCACUAGUUCCUUAGAAUGAAAAUGAGCAAUUUUAGUUUUUGACAUAAAAAUUUUGAUAUUUUUUGUCUUCCAAUGCCUUUUCUGGUAAAAUUUAACAUGAAUGUGCUAAAGAUUCACCACGUGCGUUGACCCAAAUAUAUUUGACAAAUUAAUUAUUGCGUUGACCCAAAUAUAAAGGACCUAUUUUUUCCAUCUUCUCUUUUCCAAAUAGGGACAGACUAUUUAUCCAAUCAAUUUCUCCUCUCAAACCCUGAAAUAUUGUCACAUUCUAAUGGCGAAUUUUUUGAUAUAUUAUUAAUAUACCAAAACAUAAGAAAAGUGGUGUUUUGUAGAAGUGGGUUCUAAAAUAAGUCACCGCAAUUGAGAGAAUUGGCGUUCAAAAAAUCCAUUUUGUUUUUUGUUUUUUUAAUACUAGACGCAGUAUAGGAAAAAAUGUUUUUAAAUGCAUCCAGUGAUUGGAUGUGUCAGAGCACCGCAUUCAAAAAUGGAUGCAGCAAAACCUAAGUAACCAUUGAUCACGUGGUUUAAAGUCGUGGAAUUUUUUUUCUUUUUUGAAUUGUGUUGCCACAAAUUAAAAAUACGACGUACAAAAAAAAUUCUUCAUGUCAGAGAUUGCCGCAUCCAAAAGUCAAUGCGACGAAACAUAAGUGACCAUUGAUCAAAUGUAAUUAACAGUCGAGUUUUAUAGUUGCGGAAAAAAAAUUUCGAGUUCUUUCAUCGCAAAUAUCAAAAUCAACCUAAAAAUUUUUUUUCCCAACUCCCCUGUCAAACAUUGCCACAUCCAAAAAUGGAUGUGGUGAAAUAUGAUUGAUCGUUGAUCAAAUGUGAUCAACAAUCGGGUUUUAAGUUUAUGGAAUUUUUGUUUUUUUUUAAUUAUGUAGCAGCAAAUUAGAAAAUCAGCGUACAGAAAAAAAUUUUAAAUAGUGUCAGAAAUUGCCACAUCCAAAAAUGGAUACGACAGACAAGAUUGGCCAUUAAUCAAGUGCGAUCAAUGAUCGGAUUUUAAAUUUGGCUGAUUUUUUUUUUUCAAUUUUUGGAUAGCUGCAUGAUGAAUUUUAGCCUUCAGAUCAUCGAUUUGAUUUUUUCAAUACACACGAUGUAAUUUUAGCAUCGAUACAAACAAGGAAUUUUUGCUAUAAAAGAUAUCCCAAUUUCAUCAAUGUCUCGAACACCAAUUUUCUCUGUUUCUCAAUCCCAAACCCCCCUUUCUCAUUCAAUGUCUUCUAAGAGUGGUUCCGCAAGUGUCUUUCAUAAAGCAAAGGCAGAAACAGUUUAUUCCUAAAGUCUUUCUCCUCCAGUGUUUUGCCAAAGUAACGUUGCCAGCACUAUUUUCCAAAGUAGAGGCAAACUAAAGCAGUGGUCUAUUCUCGCCAGUCUCUUUCAAGUAGUCAAAGCAGUGGUUUCAUCUCACAGGUCUUCCAAACUUUAAAGCAAUGGGUUGCAAUUCUCUUGUCAAUGAUUUGAAGUUUUAAAGAAGUGCGCAUCUUGGGAAGGCCAACCUUUGUCAUCCAAUUAAGUUACUUUCCGUCAGUAAUUAGUAUUAGUAAUUAUUUUAUAUAAUGGAUUGUAUGCAAUCAUUAAUUGCUUUUUAUGUGAAUUAUUGUGUCGUUAUUAACAAAUAGUAAAUAGUAAUAAUAAUAGUAAAUAGUAGUAGUGAUACUAAUAUUAAAUGGUAAUAGUAAAUAGCAAUAGUAAUAAUAAAUAGUAAUAGCAAUAGUAAAUAAUCAAUAGUAAUAGUAAAUAGUAAAAAUCAAAUAGUAAUAAUAAUAGUAAAUAAUAAAUAGUAAUAGUAAAUGGCGAAUAGCAAUAGUAAAAUGUAAAUUGAGUUGAUAAUUAGUAAUUAAUAGUAAUAGUAAAUAGUAAAAAUUAACUAGUAAUAAUAAUAGUAAAUAAUAAAUAGUAAUAGUAAAUAGCAAUAGUAAAAUGUAAACUGAGUUAGUAAUUAGUAAUUAAUAGUACUAGUAAUUGGUAAUUAAAAGUAAUAGUAACUAAUACUAGUAGCAAUAAUACUACUUAGCAACUAAUGCAAAUAUUCAAUAGUAAUUAAUAAUCAAAAGUUAAAUAGUAAUUAUGAUUAGUGAAUAAUAAAUAAUAGUAAGUAUACUAAUAUUAGUGAUUACAAGUAAAUAGUAAAUAGUAAUUAAAAGCAAUCAGUAAUAAUUAUUUGAUUAAUAGUACAGAAGAACUAUUAAAUUAGUAUUUAAUUAAUAGUAGUGAGUAAUAACUUUAUCUUUAAUUAGUCAUUAGUAAUCGUCUAGGCAUUUCAUUUUUUUUCUUAUUAGUAAAGAGUAGUAAUUCGUAAUUGUUUUAUUAAUGAUGCUAUUAAUAAUGAUGACAUUUGUUGAAUUAAUAACAAUGAUUAUGGCAAACUAUUUUUAAUGAAAAAUUAUGAAUUUUGGUAUACGUAGUAUUAUUUUGUGGAUGUUUAUGUGUAUAUAUAAUUAAAUUUGCUUUCCUUGUUAAAAUUUGCACUAAUAAAUUAAUGUUUGUGUUGUUCAAUUGUUGAGGAAUCAAUUUAUAUAUAGUUAAUGAAAAUUAAUAGUUGAAAUAAUUAUUUUACGUAACUAAUAGAAGCUGAUUUUAAAAUAUUUAUAAAAUUAGGCAAAAAUGUCAAUGGACAUCACAUUGGUGAUUCAGUUUUAUUGAGAAGGUAAAAUAGUAGAAACCAGAGGAUUAUUAUGACCAUCCGAGAUUAGUGAAAGAUAAAAUAGCUAUGAUGAGUUAAUGAAUAGAGUAUACACCUACAUAGGGCUAGAUCGGAAUGUUUUCAAUUUAAAUCUAUGAUUUCAGAAUUCUGUAACCCUAAGUAUAUUUGUUGAAGUGCGGUUGGAGUAUGAAGAUGACAUUGACAUGUUGUGCUAUAUGAAAUUGAUAUCACUACAAAUGACAUGUGAGAUACAUGUGAAAGUGAAGCCACAAAUCUACCAUGAGCACAGUGAUCGCAAUACUAGGCAAACAUUAUUUGUCCAAUGCGAUUUUCAAGUAGAAUUAGACAACAUGCUUCCUAUCCCUGCCUAUGAAAGUAAAAGCAUGCCAGCAAAAUCAAAGUAUGAAGGAAUACUGCAUGAUAAGCCAAGUAGUAGGGAAGGCCGUAUAAAUCGAAAACUCGAACAAGGCAGAAGUAAAAGAAUGCUUGACAAUAGUUCCGUUGCUGAAUUUCCUCUAAUGAAAAUUCACUCAAUGUCCACCUUACCAAACAUACAGGAAAGUGAUGGCGUUGAUAUAGAUCUUGACAUAAAAUCGAAACUUGAUGGCAAUGAUUCUAACAAUACUUGUUCAGAGCUAGAUCGAGCCGAUGAAGCAGACGUCAAUCCGAUUGGUAGGUUAGGUCCAAGUACAUCUAGCUCAUUCCAUAUAGCACUGCAUCCACACGACCUCAAAGAAGUCAAUACUUCACUGAAAUUUGACCUAAUUGACAUGACAGUUGCAGAGAAAUACAAUGUGUGGGAUAAGCUUACAAAGGAGUUUGGAUUGGGAAUGGUGUUUGAAACAAAGAAACGUAUGCUGCGAGUAUGGUUGUAAUUGAACUGAGCUGCUCGCGAGUUGAUUACGAGCAGAGUAGCUCAAUAGAGCCAAACAAGUCGAGUUCGUAUAUCCAAUAGCAAGACUUAAAAGCUCAUCGAGCCUUAUCAAAUUUUUUAACUUUAAAUUUUUAAUAUAGUAUUAUUAUAAAAUUACUCUUGUGCCCACAAGAGUCAUUAAAUUUACGAAAUGUUUUAGGUUGUAUGAAAAUAUUUGACGGGCAAUAAUGUCUUUUUGCUUAAAAAUUGUCAAGAAAAAUGAAAAUUUCAAAUCUUCCCGACUCAAGUUCGAUAAGGUUCAUUUUGACUCGAACCUAUGCGAGUUGAAUUCGAAUUCUAUGAGCAAUACAUUGAGCUUGAACUUGAACUCCAGCAAUGCUACUCGUUCAAGUUCGAACUCGAGUUUCCUUCCUACAAGUUGAGUCGAGCGCUAUACUAGAGAUCGAUUCGACUCGAUUACAUCCCAACAACAAAUCAUUAAAUUGUGGGCAAUUAAUCACAAUAGGAAGUACAACAUGAGGAAAAAUAAAUCAAUCAUGUGAUAUAUUCACUGCAAGUUCCACAAUGCUUUUUCACUAUAUAAUUGGUAAUUCAGAACCACUUUGAAAUGCACACAUAAUAUAUGAAAAAUUGCAACAUUUGUGAAAGAACACAUAUAUGUAAAAUGUCGAAUAUAUUGGGAGGUUGUAGAAUUUCAUCUUCUCCAGGGGGUACUACGAUAGUUUGGGAUGCGUUAGCUGAUAGCUGAGUAUAUUCACACAGACACAGAAAAGAAAUUGCAUCAUUUAUAUCAAUUAGGCCUUGCCGAGAAGAAUUGGGUCUAGUAACUUAGUUAUUGGAUUCAAUACUAGGAAUGUCAUGUUAAAUCAUAUGUUCGAGACUAUCGACCGAAUUUGAACAGGUCUAUGAAUGAGUACAUGACAUAGUAUCAAAAUCGUAUAGUCCACUACAUUACACCUCUUGUUUCGCAAUAGUCCUAACGUGACGGUCAUCGAGAAGAUGGGGAACAAUUCAACUACUUGAUAAAUUAUUACCUAUUUAUCUUUUCUUCUAACUAUAUGCUAAUUUUUUGUAAAAUAACAUAUAAAAUGACUAUAAUAUACAAAAUUUUCUUCUUUUUUUUUCACAAGUUGAUACUAUAUCUCGGAUCGGAUUGAUCUGUAAUAAGUACCUCGAUCCCUUCAAUCCUGAGCAAUGUGUUUAUCCCAAUAUUAUAUUUGUACGAGAGAAGACUUUUAGGACAUUACAAUACUUGAACUAAGGAAUGCUAAUAGCAAUUGGUCCACCAUUAAUAUAUUGCCCUAUCUAUCUCUCGAACUGCCCCUUUCGAGAUGCCUGUCGAGUAUCUAUCUAGACAAGUGUGUGGUAGGAAUCAGGCAGGUAGGCGUCGCAAAAGGGUACUUUGACACAUGAUAUUGAUGUACUUGACACACAAGUUACGUAGGUUUCAACACAUGUCAGAUACGAUCCAUUUGUUGGCACUCAAUUUUUUCACACCAUAGUUUUCUUCACACCUUCUUGUGUUCCAACUUUCAGAGGUCAUUUCAUCGUUACACCUACUCCCAUACCCGUAUUCGGCUAUACGUCUGCUACUGCAUCAUCCUUUGUUACACAAUAUAUAUCAUUUCAACCCAAUAAUGAGUUCGAGGAUAACCUCACUCAUAUCCAUGACUUCCUAAGGAUCUCGAUAGACUUUUCACCUAUUUUUCAGAUGGACGCCAGCAAUGUUCUCGUUCAUGCUCCUUCCACGACGUCUACAGAUCGUUCUUAUCUCAAAUGUGGUCAAACUCCCAUGGUGGACCCGCGAUUGAUGAUGAGGAGGACCAAAUACAUGAAGGAGUACAUGCACUACUUCGAAGGUCUGAAUGGUUACAGUUGCAACAAGAUCUACCAUACUGGGAGGGUACAUUGGAAAUUUGAUUACUCUACCAUUUCACAUGAUUAGGACAAGAGGCGCAUUGGUGGAUAAUAUUCAGAUUUCAAGUUUUUUUCUUAUCAAAACUCCUAUUUAACUAUCAUAGAAGUUUUUAUUUAGUUAUUUUACAUAUUUAGUUUUGGAUGCUACAUUAUUUAUCAUAGUUUAAAUUAAUUUUAAAACCAAAAAAUUCAAAAAAGAAUGGCUUAAGCAUAUUUUAAUUUAAUUUAUUUCGUAUUUAAAAUUGGAACCUAAAAAUCGUUUCUUACCAUUUAUCGAUAACUAAUCAUCGGUUAUGAAAGAAAAAUAGCACAAUUUUUAAUGUAAUUUUUGUUUUACAUAAUAUUAGAUUUUAGGGUUCAAGGGUUUAUGGUUUAGGGUUAUUAUUUAGGGAUUAGGGAUACAAAAAUUUAAAAUAUUUAUUUAAAAACUAAAAAAAGGUCGUUGUAUCUAGCUCGGAUGCGACGAUGACAAUUUUUUAAAAAAAUUUUGCCACAUGUCAUAUGGCACGUCGCGAAACCUUUUCAAAAAUUUUUUAUUCUUUUUAGUUCCUCCAGCAGGAAAAAAAGAGACUUAAAUCAAUUUUUCGAUGGCGCUUCAAUUGCCAAUUGCGUCGACCCUUAUAUUAGCACCUUAACUCAAUAAACACCACUUUUGUGAUGAUUUCUUAUUUGAACAAUAUCUAGAGAAAUUCGCCCAUUCUAAUUGGUCAAGUUAGAAAUAUCACCAGAAAAUGGAACUUGGUUUUUUUGGCUAGGAAAUAAAAUCCUAUUUGAAUGGGAAACAUGUUUUCAUUUGCUUCUUUCCACCUUUUGUUCCAUUGCAACUGAUGUACCCACUAGAUGAUUUUUGUGGAAAAUUGUUCGGUCAAAUUACAAUGUAACUAAUUACAAAGUAAUCUUUAUUUUUCCUAUAUUUUAUGGCUUGCCCGAAAUUCACUAGUGAAUAAUCGUCACGAAUGGUGCGACUAAUAAUUAUUUGCUGCUAUAAAAUGAUGGUGUACCAAUUAAUUCACAUCCCAAUUAUUUUUUUCCAUUAAUUAGGCAACAAUCGAAAACCCCCCAAGCCCUAGGGAAAAAACCAAAUGAAUAAACAAGUUAUGAAUCAAUAAAAUCAAGAAGGAACAAUUGUUUUCUGUUGAUAACAAAAUCGAUAUUGAGGUGUAAUUCAAAGAAUUUGAGAAAAUAUGAAUAAAUACUAGUGGUAGUGGGCACCUUGAGAGCAAGAAUGCUGUAAACCUUUUUACGCAUAGCAUGGCAUAGUGGUUCUAGUAGUGGUGGUGGUUGUUGACGGCAAUGGUUGAUACUACAAUAGUAGGAUGUAGUCGACAACAAAGGUUGCGAUGGAUGAUCUGCUUUCGAUUGUUGUCCAAGAGGAAGUUUCUAUUGAGGCCAAGGUUUUUGCCAUCAUCCAUUAUAUGUAUGCCAGGAUUUUGAUUCAAUUCAAUUCAUUAAUCCACUGCUUAUGUUCGCUGUCAAAUGCCACUGCCAUUAUUUGUUGUCCUUACCGCUGUUAUUAUCACUAAUAAAUGGGCCUUUGGUUUUUGUUUUAAGUUUAGCUUCACUUGCAGUUUCAUUUAGGGUUUGAAAGAAAAAUUGAUUGAAUAUUUGGGAGAAAAAAUUGAUUGAGUAGGUGUUUUCAGUUUUGUCUCUAUUUGGAAAAGAGAAGAUGGGAAAAAAUAGGUCAUUUACAUUUGGGUCGAUGCUAUAAUUGAUUUACUGAAUAUACCCUUUAAAUUUGGAGCACGUGGUGGAUUCAAGCACAUUCCGAUUAAAAUUUACCAAAAAGGUAUUGAAGGGCAAAAAAUCACUUUUUUUUUUAUGUUAGGGACUAAAAUCGCUCAUCUAUAUAUAAAUAUAUAUAUAUAUACAUAUAUAUGAAACUAAUUAUUUUAAUCAGAAUUGUUUCUCACUCUUACAUGGCAUAUCUAAUUGAAGAGAAUUAAUGGAUUACGGAUUACUUGGGUUUUACCCAUAGUAAAUCUUAUUUGGGUUAUAUUAUAUGUUUAAAAAUUAUCUCUAAUUUGAAAAUAACUUUAAAAAAUAACUAAUCUUAACUUAAUGAUAUUGUUUUAAAAAGACAACUAAUCUUAUCUUAAUGAUUCUGCUUUCUAUCAAAUUAUUACAUAUCGAACUAUAGUAAAAUCUUUUUCAAAUCACAAUUAUUAAAAUCUUACAUAUCCCAAAUUAAUUCUUUAAUCAUAUUGAAAUCUUACAUAUCCCAAAUUACUUGCUUUUACCAUCAUAUCGUUGAUUAGUAUUCAAGUUAUUCAUCAUUUCUUCCUUCAAUUUUAAAUUAAUUUAGUGUAAAAAAGAGAAUUAAUUAUUACACCGAUAGAUUUAUCAAUAUUAUUGAAAACUAAAUAUUUAUUGAUGAAGAAAAAUGAAUUGCUGAAUUUUUUUCUACUUAAUUAAGUAUGAAUAUAUAGUUCUAGAUUUAUGGUCAUUAUAAAAAUUUAAAUUAUCUAAAUGAAUAUUUGGAGAAAAAGAAUAUCUAUCAAAAUUUUGAUAUGGGAUACAUGAUUUGAUGUAUACUAUCAUAUUAUAGUGAAAGUAUGUAAAUAAUUUUUAAAAAUUAGAAAAUAAUUGAACUUUUAAAAUACAUUAAUUUUUAAAAGUAAAUAUUAGAUGAAUAUGUAGGAUUGUUGUUAAUUUUUGUAUUUAAAUUAUUUAUAUUUAUAUAAAUUCACAAUAAAUAAAAAAAUACUAUGUUAAGGCAUAGGCAAAUUCUAACUUACAUUAUUUAUAGGAUUGUUGUUAAUUUUUGUAUUUAAAUUAUUUAUAUUUAUAUAAAUUCACAAUAAAUAAAAAAAAUACUAUGUUAAGGCAAAGGCAAAUUCUAACUUACAUUAUGAGAGACUAAAUUUUAUCAAACACGAUAUAUAGGGGAUGAUUUGUAUAGUUUUCCCAAAAAAGUACCACUAAACAUAUAUUAAUGUGCCCCCGGGUGUAGAGCGGCUGGCCGAGGGAUGUCCUCUUUAGGGCCUUUGGUUGUGUGGUCGACUCUCACCUUGUUAACAAUCUCUGGUUCCUUGGUGGGGCGGGGGCCAGACCCAGUAGAGGACUAGUCGGUUGCCAAUGCAGUAGGAUAUCCCACUGAAGGAAAAAAAAAACAUAUAUUAAUGUAAACAAUGAAGAAUUGAGACAAAAACAAAUGAUUCUGCAAUUUGGAUGAAUAUAAUUAUCAUUUGUCAACCAAAAAACAUGUAAUAAAAGAAGUAAAUCAAAAUGCAUUCUUUUUUAAUUGGACACAUUUUAUGAAAUUUUUUAAGUUAGGGUGCGUUUGAUAAAAUUGAAAUUUGAAAUCUGAAAUUUGAAGUCUAAAUUCAUUAAGUUAUUGAAUUAUUAAGUACUAAAGGUGCGUUUGAUAAAAUUGAAGUCUAAAAUCUGAAAUCUUAGGUCUGAAUCCAUUAAAUUAUUGAAUUAUUAAGUAUUAAAUGUAACAGCCCCACCUUCCCCUAAGGCGAACCAAAGGGGUUAGCGGACUGCCUGCCCAGCUCUCGCCAGGACUAACGAGCAAUUACACGCGAUCUAAAACGUUUCGGGAAAGUAAAAGCGCGCUCGAACAAGCCACAAGAACCAAAACAAAAAAAAUAAAAAUCGAAGCCGCGGAUGAACAGUACCAGACACGUCAGAAUCCGGAGUUCAACCAAACAUCAAUCAAACAUAUACAUACAUUGACAUUCAAUCAUUUACAACCAAAUGGCAUGCCAAAAACCAUUCAUCAUGGAUACACAUGUUCGGUUUGCCAAUCAAAAGAUGAACCCAAUACACAUUAGGUAGGGUUUCAUUCAAAGAGCCAUACAAAAGACAUUUACACUAGCUCUACUUGGCAAUCGACUAUCCAAUCCAAUCCCAACAGUAAUUACAUUCCUGUAAGGAAAACAAAUGGAACGGGGUGAGCUAAAGCUCAGUGAGCAACUAUCACAUAAUCAACAAAGAUCACUUAAGCAUAACCGUUCAUUUCAAGUAUGCAAAUAAGAAGCAAAACAAAACGGUAAAAGGAUACGGACGGCUCUCAAGAGCCCAUUUCCACGCUUAUAUUCUUGAUCCAAUCUCAUUGACUCUCCGUCAACGUUUAUGAGUACCAACCGUAGAACCCACUUCACUCCCAUCCCUUCCACCAAACAUACCCCAACCGGGCCCGCACUCCAAUCAGUAGCUUUUGGUAAUACUCGAGUAUACCGGAACCAAGAGUCUCAUUAUUACAAGAUUCCCUAGUACAGUCCCCGUGGCAUGUCAAUUUUCACGACCAAGCCCUCGCCGGCUCGAUUCAAUUGACUACCUACGGGGUUGAGCUCAGUAAUACAGUAAGGCCGUUGGAUAUUCGUCCAAACGACACCAAAUCAGUUUUCCAUGAAUGGAAUUCAAUAUCUCAUAUAGCAAGUGCAGUAUUUCAGUAAAACGGUAAUCAGUCAUUAACGGUAUCACAAGGGGUGAGGGCGGUCAAGUACACCCUCACCUCAAUCAAUUCCAAUAGCCAAAUAAACCUUCAAGGCAUCAAAAUCACAUAUAGCAAAGCCACAUUGUAACAUUCAAGUGAGUAGUAUACUCACCACUCACGUAGGUGAGGUUUCAAGCACCGUCGUUAAACGAACGUCGUGCACCACCGUCACUUCCUAGAACAUGCAAACAAGUGCAAUGAGACUCGAUAACGAGUCAUAAAGCAAUGCCAAUCACAAUCCCAAUAAGGUUUCAUAUGCAUAUAUAAGCAUUAUAGCAAACCAGAAAUUUCAGCAAUGCACUAACUCGACCUUAACAAAAAACAGUUUUCGUCCUCCUUUUGCGGUAAUGGCACAAAAUGAUCUACGCUUAUCGGAUGAGGGUGUAAGACCCACCAUCUCGAAGCUAAAAGACAGGGCUACAACAAUGUAGAAGGCCACUCAGUCCAAAUCCUAGCACAACUAGGUCAAAAAUGCAAAAUACCAAACCAGAACCGUAAUUGCAGGUUUACAAAUCACACUAUCCUGUAAUUAGUCCAACUCAGUCUAUACAGGUCCAAAUGCAUUGAUUCCAAAGGCAUACGGUAGCUAAGACAUCAAGCUACAUUUCAUCAGAAGACACCAACAUCCAAAACCAAAGAAAUUCCAGUCAAAACAGACGAUUACAAGCGCAGUUCGCACAUUCUGAUCAACCCAGAACAGCAACAGUAAAAUCGACAUAUCUCAUUCUACACUACUCCAAUUUCCUUGAAAUUUUACAGACACCUCAAAUACAUUAAUACCUACAACUUUCAUGUUUUAAGCAAAGGCCAAUUCAGCCUCUAACCAUAUGAUCCCAAAACCGGACAGAAAGGGGGUUAUGAAACCCUAACUUUUCACAUUUCCUUCCAAACCCAAAAUUGGUUGCAAUUACCAAUCAUUUACACCUACUAGAGUCAUUAACCAUCAAUUCCCAUCAUCAAAGAUAUCCAUAACAUCACAUUCAUAUUAAACCAGAAAAUUCCUCAAUAAAUUGAAAACUUCAUCAUUUCAUCCAAAAGCAAGAAAUAACUCACAAAUUUCAGCACUUUAGCCAUCAUUAGGCACAAAUUAAACAUCAUUAAGUGUAGGAGGAAGUGUAAUCACCACUUACCUAGUAAACAAGAGAAGAGGAGUUGUAGACCACCUUAGCUUACUUAGAAACUUCACCAAACAACUUACUAGCACCUAAUGGAAGGAUUUUAUGGAGUAGAAACUAGUUUAGGCAAUUGUUUUUGGAAGAUUUGAGCUAGUUGGAAGCUUGAAAAUUGGAGAAGUUUUCUUCCUUCUUGAGCUUAAGAGAGUCGGCCAACAUAGAGAAAGAAAUGGUGAAUUUUGAGUCAAUUUUGAGAUAUUUAAUCCAAGGGUAAGAAAGGUCAAAACAAUGAAUAGUUGUCUUAAGCUUCCUCCAAUGGCAAUGUGACACUUGUCACCCCAUUAAAUGCAUUUCUAUCCUUUUGUUUCCUCUCACAUCAAUCACAUCUCAUUCUCUACUUAUCUCCUAACACCCGAUAAAUUUUACACAGUAUCCGAAACUUAACCUUAUUGGCUGAAUUUUUCCGAACUUUUCGCACUAGUGGGGCCCACGUCCAUAAUCUAUCCAUAAUUUUUCAAAAACUACCCAAUGCUAGAAAAAUCAUCUAAAAACUAUAAUUACUCAUAAAAUCCACCAAGAAAAUUUUCCUAAGCUAGAAAAUGCAGAAAACAUGCAAUUAAAGGAAAUAAACCCUAGAAAAAUUAUUAGGGGAUUUACGGGUUCUCACAUUAAAUCUAAUAUAUUUGAGUAUAUAUCAUAUUUAGUGAUAAGUGAAUAGUUUAUCCUUUAAUUUCGAGAGCAAGUUUUGACUAGAAAAUUCAGUGCUAUUUAAUUAAUUCAGAUAUUCAAUUUUUUGUUAUCAAACGAUCUGAAUAUAUUAAGAUCAUAAUCCAUUAAAUUUAAGUGAUUAAUUGGGUUAUCAAAUAGGAUUUAAAUCUAAUACAUUUGAUUAUAUAUCACAUUCAGGCUUCGUUUGGGGUUGUAGUAAUUUUGGUAAAAAAAUACUUUUUGGUGCUAAAAAUGCUUUAAAAGUGUUUGGUAAAUAUCAUUCCAUAAAAUUAGAAGUAGAGUUUUUUAUGUUAAAAACACUUUUAACAAAAACUCAAAUUUGGUACUUUUAGAGUACUUUUUGUGAUUUAAAAAAAAACAUCAAAUUUAAUCAUCUUAUCUAAUAUUAUGAACCAAAUAAAGAGAUAAACACUUCUAAAAUUUUUUAAAUUACACAUUAUCCAAUACAAUAAAUACUUAUUGAAUUAUAUCUCUCAAUAUAUUUAAAAUCACUUAAGUAGUUGAUAAGUACUUUUAUUAAAAACUCUAUUAAAUAAGUACUUUUUAAUAAAUUACCACAACCCCAAACGGGGUCUCAGUGAUAAGUGAAUAAUUUAUCGCUUAGGAUGCGUUUGAUAAAAAUAAAGUUUGAAAUCUGAAAUUUGAAGUCUAAAUCCAUUAAAUUAUUGAAUUUUUAAAUUUAAAUCUAAUACAUUUGAGUGCAUAUCACAUUCAGUGAUAAGUGAAUAGUUUAUCACUUAAUUUUGGAAACAAAUUUUACUUAGGAAAUUCAGUGCCACUUAAUUAAUUCAUAUGUUCAAUUUUUUGUUAUCAAAUAGUCUGAAUAUAUUAAACUCUGAAUCCAUUAAAUUUAAAUGCUAAACUAGAUUAUCAAACAGGGCCAUAAUUUUGGAAGCAAGUUUUGCAUAAAAAAUUCAGUAUUACUUAAUUAAUUCAGAUGUUGAACUUUUGAUUAUCAAAUUGUGAAUAUGUUAAGAUCUGAUUUCAUUAAAUUUAAGUGAUGAUUUGGGUUAUUAAACAGGACUCUAAUGUCAAAAUUCAAUGAUGCAUAUAGUCAUAAAAAUAAUUGUAAAAAAAUACCAAACUCGUAACUUUCAUUUUUCCACCCCUUUAACGGAAAACAUUCAUUCAUUUCUAUCAUUCUUUUUUUCUUUUGUAAUUUUCUUGUAAGUGGGAGGUCUCAAAAUUGAAACUUUUUACUUACAUUAUUUCCCCUAAUAUCACCCAAACCAUUCUUUCCUCUAUUAAUCUCGUCACUCAAUAAACCUAUUUUUGGGAUUUUUUUUCUUUCUAUUUUCCCACCUUUUUUGGAUGGCCUUAUAUAUAUAUAUAUAUGAAGAAAGAAAUAUUAGAGUAAAAUAUGAAGAAGAAGAAGAAGAUAUAGAAACAGUUAGUAUAAAUUCUCAUAAAGAAUUAAUGGAAGCAGAAAGUAGUAAUCCAGGAGAAGGAACUAGCAGAGAAAAUUAUAAUCCAGGACAAAUACCUAGAAUACCUUAUGGAGAAUAUAGAGAACCAACUGAUAAAAUAGCACCAAGAGGUAAAAGACAACCAUUAGAAUCAAUAAUAAAAGAAAAAACUAUAGAUGAAGGUAAAACCUUAAUAUUAAUAUCCUAUGACCCACAAUUAACAGAUGAUGUUAUAGGAGAUUGGAAGUCCAAAGUAGUUAGAGAUUAUAUUAAAAAAGGAUUUGAUCAUAGUGUAGAAAAUAUGUAUACAUAUUUGGAAACAUACUUAGGAGAAGUAGCAGCUGCAGCAUGGGAAGCCUUUAAACAGAUUGAUUCCUUGGCUGUGCUUAUUUUUAAAUUUGGGUUUAAAAGUUCUAAUUUACAAAUUAUUUUAUCUUUUUCCCAAUGUAGAGUAGGAUUUUCCCCAAAUAUUUCUAAUUUUUCUAAUUUACUAAUUAAUUGGUCUAUUUCAUAAUAUCCUGUUUCUAACAAGUUAUAGACCUGACUGUUUUCUAAAAAGUUUAUGCAUAUUUCCAAGGUGUUAUAAUCAUCUAAUUCUAUAUUUAAGCAUUGAUAAUCAUUUUUAUUAUUACAAUUACAAUAUUCUUCUGAAAGAUCUCCUUUGAUUAUGUUAUGAGUUUGUGCAUUAAUAAACUUAUCAUCUUUUAUUUCUUUAUACCAAGGAUCGUUAAGGCUAUGUUGUUCUAUGUCUAAAUUUGCUAAACACUGUUCUACUGAGUUUAUUUGGUCUAAUCUGUAAUAAAAACUAUAAUAUCCUUCGGGACUUUUGACAGUUUCAAAAGCUAACCAAUAUGCGUGCUCUGGUGUGCUUGUAUAAUUAUAUGGUGGUUGGUUAUCAAAAUUCAUAAAAUUAUUCAAAAAUAUUCAAUCUAUUAUAUGAGGAUUUGGUACUUUAAGAGAAAUUUUUGAAAUUAUACCUUCCUUGUUGAGCUUUUUCUUAAAAAAUCUCCGAUUCUUUAGAGUUGCGAAUCCUUUGACAAAUAAUCUUCUAAAUAUCCCUGGAAUAAUUCUUCAUCCAUCGUUGUCUCUUCAAAAUCUUUUUAUAGAAAAUAAACAUUUGGAAUAUAAAUUUUUUAAAUCCUAUUUUCUGAUGCUAACUUAUAAUGAUUCCAUUCUGCUUUGAAAUGUUUAUAUGCUAGAUUUAGCAUUCUGCUUCUUUUAAGCUGUUCUUUUAAUAAUAAGGGACAUUCAACAAUAUUUGCCUUUAAUCUCUGUACUUUUUCUGUAGUUAAUCUCCCUAGAUGACAAUUGCUGACUGUUAACCUUAUUCUAUGAACUGUUGGUGCCAUGUCUAAUAGUCCAAUCCAUUCUGCUGGGGCUGAUAUGAUUUCAAUCCUUACCCAUUCUCCAAAGUCAAGUAAUCUUCGGGCAAAAUAUCCGAGAUGGGUCCCCAAUCUGUAUGUGUCUUCUGGAUCAUUUAUCCAGAUAUUUUCAAGGAAUCCACAGUCUAGUAGAAAUUGAGGGGUGAAGACUAUUCUUUCUUCAUUGACAUAUAAUACCGAAGAACUAUGUAUAUCUAUGUAAUGUUAAAGAGGCUUUUAAGAAAUAAAAAUCAAGGGUAUGAACACAAUGAUUAUUUAUUUUGCUAUGGUUACAUGGUUUUGGGUUAUUUGGACAAAAUUUGUGUGGGUUAAUCCAAUAAGAAGGGCUAAAACGGAUUCUACUUGUUGGGCUAUAACUUGUGGCUAGGUUCAAAAAAUGAUUUUGUACUGCUUGUAUUUUUGAAAAAUGUUGGGCUUGGACUUUUUGUCCAAUUAUUUCUACGAUUGGAUAAGGAAAAGGUUCUAAAAUUGUGUAGGGUUUGAAAAAUAAUCUGGGCUUAAGAAAGCUUAAAGGCCUUUCAUAUUCAGGCUUUUCAAAAUUGGGCCGGAGGAAGAACUGGCCAUAUGAGAUGUUAUCUGUGAUAACCUUCCUUUUAGCUCUCCCAAUUCUGAUAUUUGUGAGAAAAUAGUGCCGCUUUGUGACCCUACAAUCCCAUGCAUUUCUUUGAGUUGUUUUGUCAAGGAAUCAAUCUGAGUUUUUUGGGACUUAAUCUCAUCCUCGUAAACCCUGCAUUUCUCAUUUAUUCUUCUAAAAUUAUUUACCAUGCUAUCACAAUGCCUGCAGAAUUGUAAAUUUCUACUUUUAUCAAAUUCUACUGCAUCUAAAUAACUACUGCUACUUCCAGGGGUUUUAGAGGGUCCUGGUAUUUUUGUACUAUCCAUGCUGGCUUUAGUAUCCACAUGAAAUGAUAUGCCAAUAUUUUUUCUAGCAAAUUCUAAUGCUUCAUGAAUGUUAUGAAAAGCUUUCAAAAGAGGGUUUUGAAAAUUUUUAAUUUGUUCUACUACUGAAAUCCACUUAGAGUAAAUUCCAGGUGUUCUUCCUUGUACUACUACAUAAUAUGAAAAACUUUGUUUUGGAAGAUUGCUAAAAUAAAAUGCUAAGGUAUUUAACAUUCUAAUUUUUUGUGCUACAUUAGUGCUAUUCAUGUUCCAGAGGUUAUUUAAGAUAUCCUACUGGAUUUCUUCUAGAUUACCUUCUUCAGUGCUACGGAAAUAUACACUGGUACCUUUGGGAUACUUUGUCAGUUCCCAUUGUCCGAGCUUUAUCCUGCUACCUUGUGCCAUAUUGUUUCUGAAAAUCACAGGAUUUAUGAUAAUUGUCGGGAUAAAAAAUCAGCUAAGCUAUUAUUACUACCUUUAAUAUGUUCGAAUUGUACUUUAUACCCAUUUCCAAUUAUUCUAUCUGUAAAAUUUAACCAUCUCCUAGUACUACUUCUUUUUUCAUUAUAAGUAUCAUAAAACUUUUUUAUAGCUUCACAAUCUGUUCUAAUAGUUAUUUCUGGUUUAUUUAUAAUAAAAAGUUUGAAGUUAUCCAAGGCAUAUGCUACUGCUAAUAAUUCGGCAUCAAUGCUACUUAUAUUACCUUUUUCUCUAUAGUUUCCGCUAGCAUGUCUACAAAUUUGUUCUUCUUCUUUUUUGCUAUAUUUGUGCGGUUUUGCUAAUAAGAUUGCCCCCCAUCCUUUAUUACUUCCAUCACAUUCAAUAAUUAAAUAGUCUGUAUCUAAUGGUAAUAUUAAAUCUGGUAGUUUAUUAACAACAUUUUUUAUUUCUUGUACUAAUUUUAUAUCUUCUUUAUUAAAGAAUUUUUGUCCUUUUAAAGAUGUUUUACUGUAUAAUGGUGCUACUAAAUUAUUUAAAUUUUUAAUAAAGGGUCUAGCAUAAUUUAGUAACCUUAGAAAUUUUUGUAACUUUUUUGUUUCUUCUAUUUUAUCUGGAAAUUCUAAGACUUUUUUACAAAUAUGUGAUUGUAAUUUGAUUUUACCUUGUCCAAUUUCUGUUCCUAGAAAUUCUAUGUUUUUUUCUGAAAAACUGAGCUUUCCUUGAGCUAGUUACUAUACCAUGCUUAAUGAAUUCUGCAAAUACUAAUUUUAAAUGACUUACAUGUUCUUCUUUAUUUUUAGAGAAUACUAAUAUAUCAUCUAUAUAAACAAUUACAAAACUAUUAUAUUUUCUAAAAAUAUCAUCCAUUUUAUGUUGAAAUAGUGCUGGUGCAUUUUUUAAUCCAAAAGGCAUUACUAACCAUUCAAAAUGACCUAAGGGACAAGUAAAAGCUGUCCAUUCUAUACUAUUAGAAUGCAUUUUAACCUGCUAGAAUCCUGAUUUGCAGUCAAAUUUACUGAAAAUAUAUCUAUAUUAAAUUCUAUUUAUUAAUUCAUUUUUAUCUGGUAUGUCAUAACUGUCUUCUUAGUGUUAUCAUUUAAUCUUUUAUAAUUUAUUAUCAUUAUACUCUUUCCUCUAACAAUUUCACUAUGUUUCUUAACUAUAAAUGCUGCACUUCUAUGAGGGCUUUCACUUCUUCUAAUUAUUUUUAAUUUGUUUAAGUCUGCUAUAUGCAUUUCAAAUUCUUUUAUAUCUUCAUUACUAGCUUCUAUUUUGGUUGUGCUUAUUUUUAAAUUUGGGUUUAAAAGUUCUAAUUUACAAAUUGUUUUAUCUUUUUCCCAAUGUAAAGUAGGAUUUUCCCCAAAUAUUUCUAAUAUUUCUAAUUUACUAAUUAAUUGGUCUAUUUCAUAAUAUCCUGUUUCUAACAAGUUAUAGACCUGACUAUUUUCUAAAAAGUCUAUGCAUAUUUCCAAGGUGUUAUAAUCAUCUAAUUCUAUAUUUAAGCAUUGACAAUCAUUUUUAUUAUUACAAUUACAAUAUUCUUCUGAAAGAUCUCCUUUGAUUAUGUUAUGAGUUUGUGUAUUAAUAAACUUAUCAUCUUUUAUUUCUUUAUACCUAGGAUCAUUUAAUGGUUCACCACGCUUUUGUGCAAACUCUGAUAGAUAAGGUGUAAAUGAUAAAGAUGCUUCUCUGAGAAAUUGUAAAUUAUUACGAGUAAGAAUCAUACCAUAAUAAGAUUGUAAAAUAAAUGCUAAUCCAAUAAUAAGAUUAAAAGGAAAUGUUCGAAGAUAAAUUUCUUCUACAAAAUAAGGAUGUGAAAAAUUGUAAUUUUCUUGUUGAAAAGACAUAUAUAUAUUUUGUAUAGAUUUGUUAUAUUCAAAAGUUGUACCAUCCAUUUGUCUAGCUAUUCUAAUUCUUCUGGCUUUUUUAUGAUAUUGUUGUGGUAUUAAUAAUUCAUUUAUUAUUAUAUUACUAGCUCCUGUAUCUAUUAUUGUUAGAAUAUGUAUAUCAAAGUCUCCUAUAAUAAUUCUAACCAUUAAUUCUACUGAUGUAAUCUUAUUAUAUGUAUUUAGUAUUUCUGUAUCAUAAUUAUGUUUUAAUAUUUCUGAAGAUAUUUCUAAAUCUGUAUUUUCUAUAUCAAUAUUCUUUCUUUUUUCUGUAUGGAAUGUGAGAAGUUGUUCUUCUAAAUUUUGUAUUUUUUGUUGUAAGACUUCCUGUUUAUUUUCUAAAAUUCGUAUUCUUCUUUCUCGAUGAUGUUCAACAGGUUCAUCAUUUUUAUGUUUUUCUGGAGUUUCUAUAUUAAUAUGUGUAAUAUGGAAAAUUUUUUCUAAACAGUAUUUACAAAUUUCUAAAUAACACUUUUUACAUUGAAAUCUCAAAUUUAAAGAUGGAUAUUUGAAACAAUUAAAACAAGGUUUAUUAUAGUUUCCUUUAUUAUGCUGCCAAUCAUGAUUGCAUUUAAUUGUUUCUAUUUCUACUAAAUCAAAAUUUUCUAUUUCAUCUAAUUUCUGCCAGUCAUUUUCUAAAUCAUCUAAAUAUAUAUUUUUUUCUGAUUUUCCUAAUAUUUCAUCUACAAAUUCAGUAUCCCCUUCUUCUAUUUCUUUCUGAUAAUCUAGAUCUUCUAUUGUUGUUAUACUAUAUAUGCUUUCUGUUUCUGAGAUAUCAUUAUCUACAUUUAUUAAAUCUUCUGCUAACUGUUCUAUUAAAUGAGCUUGUUUGUUAAACUUAUUAUUUUUAUUUGGGCAAUUAGUUGCCAAAUGAUUAGGCUGAUUACAAAUAAAACAUGUUAAUCUAUUACCAUAAGUCCUUUCUGGCCUAUAUCUUCUAACAUGGUGUUCUUUUUUUAAGAAUGGUUUUCUAGCCUGACUUUUUCUAAGAUAAUAUAUUUUUCUAGGAUAACCUAUUCUUUUCUUGUUAUAAUUAUAUUUUUUCUUCUUUUUAUAUUCUUUUUCUCCAUAUUUCUGUGGUGUAUAUAUUUCUGAACAAAAACUAUAUUCUCCUUUUAACUGUUUUUGUAUUUUAAUAAAUGUGCAUUCUUCUACUAAUCUUGCUAUUAUAAAUCUUAUUGCCAUACUAACAUUUUUUAAUGUUGGAUGAAAUGUUAAUGCUUUAUAUCCUUCAUAUAUCUUUUUUCCUAAGUCAUCUGGUAAUUUAGCAAAUAAUUUUUCUAUUAUUCCUUCAUCAUAAAAACUUCCUGAUAAGCAUGCAUAAUAUAAAUAAUCUUGUAAGAAUGGUUUUAUAUACUUCCAAUUUCUAAUAGAUAACUGUUCUAAUUUUCUUAUUGAUUCUAAUUGUUUCAUUACACCUCCCCUAUUCGGACUUUGUGCUAAUGAUAAUUCUUCUACCCUGUUUACAAAGUUCAUUGGAUUUAAUCCGUGGGACAUAUCUUCUCUUAGUUCAUUUGGAAAUUUCUGUUUAAAGGCUUCCCAUGCUGCAGCAGCUACUCCUCCUAAGUAUGUUUCCAAAUAUGUAUACAUAUCUUCUACACUAUGAUCAAAUCCUUUUUUAAUAUAAUCUCUAACUACUUUGGACUUCCAAUCUCCUAUAACAUCAUCUGUUAAUUGUGGGUCAUAAGAUGUUAAUAUUAAGGUUUUACCUUCAUCUAUAGUUUUUUCUUUUAUUAUUGAUUCUAAUGGUUGUCUUUUACCUCUUGGUGCUAUUUUAUCAGUUGGUUCUCUAUAUUCUCCAUAAGGUAUUCUAGGUAUUUGUCCUGGAUUAUAAUUUCCUCUGCUAGUUCCUUCUUCUGGAUUAUUACUUUCUGCUUCCAUUAAUUCUUUAUGAGAAUUUAUACUAACUGUUUCUAUAUCUUCUAAGUUAUCUUCUUCUUCUUCUUCAUAUUUUACUCUAAUAUUUCUUUCUUCAUCAUAGUAUAAAAUUUGUGUUAUUUCUAUGAUUCCUUCUGAUUCUAAUUUUCUUUCUAAUUCAAAUAAUUCAUUAUUAGUUAAAUCCCUUUCUAAUUCUUUAGGAUAUAUAAUUCUAUCUAUAAUUUUUUCUCUUCCUUCCAUAAUUUAUAAUCCUAUUAAUUAUGUGUCUAUUUCAUCAUUAUCACUUUCUAUCCCUAUAUUUGUUUGUUCAUAAUUAUGAAAUCUAAUACUAGUUUCCCCUUUACUAUUAUUACAUAUUAUAUUAUUUUUUCGUAUUAUAGGAGUUUUUUUUCUACUAAUUUACUAAGAUUCCAUUCUUCUCUUGCCAAUAUAGUUGGAUCUAUGGCUAUUGGUUUUAAUAAUUUAAUUCCACUGCUAUGCAUUGCUUCUAUUAUUGAUUCUACAUUAAUUUUAUAUUUUGUAUUACUACCUGUUGUUGUUCUUCCUAAAAAUCCUAUAUUUAUCAUGAAAUUUUCUCCUGUAAAUUGUUCAUAACCUUUAGUUUGUAUUCCUACUUCUAUUUGGUUUAAAUCACUAAUUGUUAUUUGAUAAUCUGGUGAACAAUAAAAUAAACCUCUAUUAGUGGUCAUGUCUACUUCUAUAGUUGCUAUAAGUGCUUUUUUAACAUCUGUCCAUCUUUUAUCUAAAAGUGUAAUUAAUACUUUAGUUCCUAAUCCUGGUCUUGUUAGUCCUUUAAUCCUUACUACUAUUAAUCCUAAAUGCAUAUAAUUAUGUUCUCUUUUUAUUUGCCUAAUACUUUCUUUAGUUACUAAUUUUAAAGUCCUUGUUCUGUAGUAGCUUUUAUUGAUUCUUCUCUAUUACUUCUAAAUAAUCCUGUUCUGUUGUUAAUCUAUCCUGUUCUAUACAAAGUUCUAGGAUUUAAUAAGUUAAUCUGUUGAUUUCUGUAUAUUUCCAAAUCAAUGUUUACAUCUAUAAGUUCUUCUAAAUUAUGAUUUCUGUUUCUACCAUUUGAACUUCUAAUUCGAUUUAAAAUAUUAUUAUUUUCUAUUAUAGUCCUACUGGGUCCUGAAAAAGAAUUUCUACUUGCCAUACCAAUUCUGGGGUUGUAGAUUUUUACCAAAAAUCGUACUUCUUGUUCCUGCUUCCUUACUUUCCUUUCUUUCUACUGGGAUAUUUUUAAAUUUUCGAGUUAUUUCUUCCAAAUCUUGCUCAAAUUUAGAUGCUUCUAAUUUUUCUAUUCUAGUGUGGAUGUCAUCUAUUUUUUGGUGUAAUUUUAUUAGUAAGGCUAUAAUUGUAUUAUUUUGUUUGGGAUAUGUUUUAUCUGAUACUGAUGAUCCCCAAUAUUUUGUUAAUCCUUCAGUUUCUGUAUGAUAAUAUUGUAAUUCUUUUAAAAUCUUUUGAUAAUCUGAGUAGAAUUCAAUUCUGGGUGCAUUACUGGUCAUUAACUAAGGAUUAUUUUUUCUAUUUUUUCUAAUAAUCUUUCUACUUGUUUAUAAGAUUCUUUUAAUUCUAAGGAUCUUUCUUUAAUUUCUUCUAAUAUUUUCUUAUUUACUUUUUCUAUAUAUACUUUUUGUUCUUUUCUAAUAUUUUUUAGUUCUUCAAGAUGUUUAAAAUUUUCUAAUAUUUUAUUAUUUUGUUCUUUUAUAUAAUCUUGAUUUUCUGCUAGUUUUUUAAUUAUUUUAUUUUUCUCUCCUAUACUGUUGAUUAUUAAUUCUUUUAUUCGAAUAUCACUUUCUUUAUGCUUUUCCAAAUUUUCUCCUAAAGAUAUAAUUAAGUCUACCAGGCUGUUAUAAUUUUUAUCUUCUAUACUAUGUAAGUGAUGUUUAUAAAUAUUAUUAAAGUAACAAAUAUGUCUAUGUUUAUCUAAUGUUACUAUAUUUCUAGAUUUAUUAGAUAUUUCUAAAUUUAAGUAUUCUAAAUUUUUAUCUAUAUUUUCUAUUUAUCAGGCCAACCAGAUCGGUCAGCUUUGAUGUACACAGCCAAAAAAGGUUAUUCUUAUUUUCAUUACAAAAAAAAGGUUAAUCUUCCAUAUGUUAUCUAUAUUAUAUAUGAAUGGGGAACAUUAAGUUUGAUGUAAAAUUUGUUGUCACUUUUUGAAUUUUCAACUUUACCCUCACAAUGACUAAAUUAUACUUUUACCAUCCGAUUGCAUGUUGCCUGUAUUAUCAAUCAAUGUAAUUACAACUAAUUUGCACUCAUAAUUACCCAUAAUUGUAACCACCAAAUUAAUUAAAAUUCUAUUAAAAAACUUUUAAAAGAUCAAAGUUUAAUUUUUCAUUUAUGAAAAUUUUAUACUAAAUUCUUUGGUAUAAAAUGUGAUUGUUCCUCAAUUGCAAUUGCACGUACAUUAGCUGUACCCUUAUCACUAGUUAUUCAUUCCAUAAAUAGCACCGUCACACUUGAAGCACUCUUGAAACUUGACAAAGUAAUACACAUGUAUAGAAACCAAAAAAUGCAGCCCAAUUUGGUAAGGCCCAAGCCCAUGCUCAAUGGCAACUGACUAAAACCCUAACCAGCGUAGAGCUCCUCCAUUAUAUACUUUCAAGCUUUCUCUACUAAUUCUAGGGUUUGUUUCAUCGGCCGCUCAUAGACGCCUCUGAUUUCUCCUCCGAUCCUCCUUUCCCGACACCGGCCGGCCAGCCAUCGAUCAAUUCGUCCAAAAUGGUCACCACCAAAAAAACCGUAAGAAUUCCUACAUUAAUUUUGGUAAUUGAUUUUGAUAUUUUUGAAGAAAAUAUGAUUGAAUUCUCUGUGAUGGUAAUGAAUUGCAGAAGAAGACUCAUGAGAGUAUUAACAAUAGGCUGGCUCUGGUGAUGAAGAGCGGCAAGUAUACCUUGGGGUAUAAGACUGUUCUCAAGUCUCUCAGAAGCUCCAAAGGUGAAAUAAAAACUCUGUUAUUUUGGUUCUAAUUUGCAGUAUAUUUUUAGUAUGAAAUGAUAGGAUAGAAGUGAUUUGGUUAUAUAUGUAGGUGAGUUUGAGUUUUUAUAGUUGUAGUGAAUUUGGUUUUGGUUGGAUCUGUUGGUUUUUUACUGGCUCGUGUGAUGUACUGGUGCUAAUGUUAAAGAACGAAUGAGCAACUGUUGGUUGAAAUUUGAGGGAUUGAAGUAAAUUUGAGAUGUGUUUCUCUGUGGUUAGGUGUGGAUUUGUGUAUUCGUUGGCCAAUAGUUUAAUGAGUUUCAUUUUCACCUUCGUGAGCUGAGAUUUUAGUUAUGAGAGAUGAGUGAGGGGAUUGUAGGUAUACAGAAUUCGAUCUGAUUUGAAGAUGAAAAAUGUUUUCCUGGUACUUGUUUGUUGACUAGGUAUCAAUAUAGUUAUGUGCAUUUAGCAAGUCAUUGUGUUUAUUGAGGGCAACUUUAACAUGUUUUUUGGUGUUUGUUUGACAGGGAAGCUGAUUAUUAUUGCAAACAACUGCCCUCCUCUUAGGAAGUCCGAGAUAGAGUACUAUGCUAUGUUGGCGAAGGUUGGAGUCCACCAUUACAAUGGGAGUAAGUACCACUCCGUUUAAUGCCUUUUUUCUUGUACAAGGUUGUAAUCAACUGUUCUUUCUGUUAUUUGGUGCUCUUAACCUUCAUGUCUAUUGGCAGAAGUACUUGUAGUCUUGUAUUUGUUACAUCUUGGCUCACUGGAUUGAAUAUUAUCUCCUCUUCUAAUUUUGUCAUGUCUUCUUUUGUAAUGUAUGUCGCCGCAUUAUGACAUUCUGCUAGUUAACGUGUGUGUGGUUUGUCAGUAACUUUUUCCAAAGAUAUAUUUAGUUAGUAAUCUUUCCCCACAAGUACCUGUAUGUUGUGGGGCUUCGCUAUCUGGUCGGCAGGAUCAAUUUGUUUCUGAUCGACUCGUUCCCUUGAAGCAAAAUUGAGUGUGCUGCUCUUUCUUAAUCUCUCCUCCAUCACCUUGCACAUUGUGUUUGGAGAACACAGGCGCAGCUAUACUCAUUUGACAUUAUAUAUAUAUAUGAAAUCUUUCCCCACAAGUACCUGUAUGUUGUGGGGCUUCGCUAUCUGGUCGGCAGGAUCAAUUUGUUUCUGAUCGACUCGUUCCCUUGAAGCAAAAUUGAGUGUGCUGCUCUUUCUUAAUCUCUCCUCCAUCACCUUGCACAUUGUGUUUGGAGAACACAGGCGCAGCUAUACUCAUUUGACAUUAUAUAUAUAUAUAUAUGAACAUAAGAUAUAGAUUUCAGGUUAAUAAGCUUAAUAAAUUUGUAUUCAAUUAAGUCUUAUUUUUGGCUUUUUAUUCUUUGCUGUUGGGGGUACUGAAUAACAAUGAUGAGCUCUACAGACCUGUAAUGAUUUGCGAAUAUGAUCGCAGUUCUAUUUUUGAACAUCUAAGGGACUGAGUUGUUUAUCAUCUAUACCCUCCCUGAGAAGAGAUAGAAAUGACUGAAUACAGUGCAAUCAUUCAUUCGAAGUAGUCAACCAUUUCAGUUGGUUGGGGGUUCCGAGGUGGGGGUGUGGGGUUGGAAGCACUUUCUCUGGCUGUAUAUGCUGCUGCCUUUACUUUCACUGCCACAUUGUCUCACUUGGUCUGGAAAUCUGUAUUUGUAGUUUUUAUUUCUGAUAGUCUUAUUUUGUGUGCUCAAUAUUCUUUUGUUCAGACAAUGUCGAUUUGGGGACUGCUUGUGGUAAAUAUUUCAGGGUGUGCUGCCUCAGCAUUAUUGAUCCAGGUAUACAUUUGUUUACUUUUACAAGUGUUGUCUGUUAUUUUAUCCAACAAUCUUCUGAUAUGUUCCAAUUCAUGAUCAUUUCAGGUGAUUCCGAUAUCAUUAAGAGCAUGCCUGGUGACCAAUGAGAAAGUUCUAGUGGGUAAAAGAUAUCACCAAGAUAGGCAGUUGUCGGAUUCUUUUGACACAUUUUAUAUUUUUCUCUGAUGGAAAAGCAUUGCAGUGUAGAUGUGGUUUGCCUCUUUUUAAGAUGACCUCUGAGAAAGUUUUGAUGUUAAUGAGAACAUGUUCCCUAUGAUGUUAAAACUGAAAAACUGAAAUUUUGGUUAUUUGUGAUGCUUUGUGGACCGUCAGUUUUUCAUUUGGCAUUUAAUUUUGGCCACGAACUUUCAAAGUGUUCAACAUUAGUAUAUUCGUCUCAGCUGUCAAAUGUCGACUUCCUGCGCAUUGAUUUAGGCGUCCCAAAGAAUUGUUAAUGCAUUUUCACUCGCCUUCAAGGAGCGGUGAUAGUUUGAUUUUGAGGCAGCUGCUUCACGAUCAUAACAAAAUGUUUAACGUGGAAAGAAUUGCUGUUGCGCCCCAUUGUUAAAAAUAAAAUUAUUUUAUAAUAGAAAAAAUGUAUUUAUUGAUUUUAGAAAAAAUGGAUUUUGAUUAAUUAAUAUUUUAUUUUAGAGGAUAAAUAAAAAGAAAGGAUCUAAAAAUGGGAUUUAAAAUAUGUGACGGUUUUAGCUCAAAAUAAUCGUUUAAAAAGAAUUUUAUUUAUUUAAAAAAUGUACUUUGGGUGAUUGGUACACUUUAAUGCAACAAUAAGUGGCGACUUAUUUUUUACUUCAAGCCUCGACUGAUUCGUGUUUAAUUAGAUCUAUAUGCAUAAAAGCACAAUAUUUACUGGCUUUUGUUGUGCGAUCCUGAUUUUGGAUGAAGUAAACGAAAAUUUUUCAUUUUAUCCAAAUCCCAGGCACAUGUUCCAAAUAUUCGAAACUUCAUACCAAAUUGAAUCGAGAAUCUGAAGACAGCUUAAUUAUACCCGUACUCCCCAUUUGAGAAAAUGGGAUAUGUAUUUAAUUUUGGGGUUAAUUCCACUUUGUCCCCCCAAACUUUGGACGAUUACUCACUUUAAUCCCUAAACUUUAAAAUGAGAUACUUAAGUCCCUAUAACUUAUAAAUACCUCCCAAUUAAGGAAAUUUGUUAACAGAAUCUUGAAUGCCGUGGUGGUCGAAGUGUCCCAUUUUAUAAGGGUUUAGGGAUUUAAGUGUCCCAUUUUAUAAGUUUAGGGACUUAAGUGUCUCAAUUUAUAAGUUUUAGGAAUUUAAGUGUCCUAUUUUAAAGUUUAGCGACUAAAGUGGGUAAUCGUCCAAAGUUUGCGGGACAAAGUGAAAUUAACCCUUAAUUUUGUGAAGGAUGGAUGAAGAUGAACAUGGGAUGGUAAUUUUACCCCUACUCCCUGUUUGAAUAAACUUCCGAAAAAGGGUUUGUUUUGUUGUACUCUUUAUUUAUAUUUAUAUUUAUACAACACAGCAUAAGAGAGACCUUCAAAAUUACCUAUCAGACCGUCAACUGUCAAGAUCCUCCGGCACUGUAUAGAUACUUCGUUAAGAAGGAUCGAGCCUAGAACAUAAAAACCAGCACUGCUGAAUUAAAAGUUGAAUUAUUUUAAGAUUUAAUUUAGAAUGUUGUUUAAAACUUUUAGACAUGAUUAGCAUUUUGUUCGAUAUAAAUCAUUUUAACAACACACAGUUUGGUCUUACCAUGAAUUCCUUCGUUGUUACAGUCACAAAAUUAACUUAGACUCAUUUAGUGUAAUAUAAUCUGUGGGUGAAUCUAAUUUAGUGCCUCAAGUAUUACUAUUUUGAAGAGUUUUGAGUACUCAAAGGGUUUGUGUACCUGCAACAGCAAGUCAGCAGCCAUUGGCUACCUCAGCAAACCAUCUCCAGCGACAUCUCAUCCCCGUUCCUGCAACAGCACCUCCAACAAGGGUGAAGACUCCUUUAAGUAUUUCCAGAGGUAUGAUGGUCUUUUAUUAGUUUUUUUCCCUCCCUUUUCCUUUGAAAAAUUGUCUAGAAUUACUGGUGUAGAUUCUUGAAGUUGGAUUUGAAUGAAUUUUUCUGGGUUGCUUUUGUUUUAGUUUGUUCUUACCUGAUUAGGGUUACAUUUGAUAUGAUUGAUGCUAAUGAAUUAAUUUGGCUGCUGAGUAUUAGGGGUUUUAUGAUUCUUGGAAUCUGAUUAUUAAUCUUAGCGCUUUUGUCUCGACCCUCUAACUUGCUCGGAAUCCGGGUAGGGUAGGGUAGUGUUUUUCUUAUAAUCUGGUGGGACCAUUUGUAAAAGUUUUAGUGAAUUCAUUUGAGUUUGUGAAGCCACGGGCUGAUUCUUGCCAUAGCUGCUUGAUUGAAAAGGGAAUAUAAGCGUGGAAACACAGAAGGCUUUGGAUAUAUUCCCAAAUCAAUGAAUGUUUUGACAUAGCAGCAAGCGAAUCACCCAAUGGCAAUGACGACUCUGUCGUAAAAUGAUCACUCAGGUUUGUCGUCUUGGCAAAUACAAGAAACCACAAAUAAGUACUUUAAUGAAGAAGAUGCGGCCAGAAGUAAAACUGGACUUACACAGGACAUAGUCUAUAUACAUCAUGGGGAACUGGGGACAAAAUUACCAAAACAGAAAAAAGGUACUUGCUGGGUUUAUCUUGUUGGGUUGUUAAGCAAUGCUAGCUUCUAUAAGGGCUGCACAAAUCUUUUAUUUAUAGCAGUACUUAUCAGCGUUUAAUUUCAGAUAGACUCAUGAAUUCCUUUGGUCCUUUUCUCGAGCAACAAAUAUAUUGAUGGAGUUCUUGUUGGUUGGCGAAUUUCAUAGUCUUCAUUCACCGUCAAGGCCUGGCUUAGUAGUUCUCUAAAACGUCUAGAUGAUUUGGAAAUGUUGCAGCACCUUUCCCUGUUUCUGAUGAUAUCUCCAUCUGUCCUAAAUCAUUUAAUCUUAUCAUUUAUCACAUGUAUCCUGCUUGCUCCAUCACUUGACCUUAUUUCCAAGUGCCAAUUUCCAACUUCUAAAAUAACGAGAAAAAACCUUAUUCUGGUCCCAUUUUGGCAUUUUCAAGUUAAAAGUUUUUGUUUUUCUAAGGAGUAAUACUUGUACACAUUUAGCUGGGGUUAUGUCCCUAAUUUUAGAAGCAUGUAAAUCUAAAGUCACAUUGUUUAGACAUUUAAAAUAAUAAGUCUAAAACUUUUAGACCUGGACAAACAAUGAGAGAGAGCACUUGAUAUUCCAGUGACAUCAGGAAACACUAGCUUUCAGAUGUUCUUUUCACAUUGUGGGAAACUGGAACAGAGCCAGGUUCUAAUUUCUAUCUGCAGGGCUUUCAUGCCCGAAUGGAUUUAUCUUCAUAGAUAGUUGCUCUGAUGCAAAAGCCUGCUGUAAUUAAAGCUUCAAAAGAACUCUACAUGCUACAUGUUGUUAUAUAGGUCUAAACCAGUUUUUGCUUGACAAAAUCUUACAUCUUUUGUGUACAGAAAAUGAGUUCUAGAACGCUAGAAUUAGAUGGGCUGUCACACUAUUCUUUUGGUUCAUCCAACAGGGACAUUACUUGGGAGGAUGAGUAACCAAGGAGACGGGCUGUUUUUUUUUUUUUUUUUAACUAUAUAAAGUACAUGUAUAUGUAUCAAAUUAAAUUCUUGUUACCAGUGGUCCUAAACAGUGCUGAUUAAUCUAGUACCAAUGCAAUUGGUCCAAGGGAGAUGUCAGCAAAUUAGGGGUCUCUAUCACAUAAGAGAGAGAGAGAGAGAUAAAAUGAAAGAAUAUAGUAGAUGCUUUCUUUAGAAAAAGCAAGAUAUGGAGGUGUCUACUUUAAUUUUUGACUGUUGUUACACAUGGUAUGCUACAUAUGAAUGAUAUUUUGCCUGUUUUCUUGCGUGGGCUGUGACCAAAUAAGGAGUAGUUACUCUUGAACUUGCAGCCACAAAGUCCUCUCUCUUUAUGUUUGUCCACCAAACCCCAACCCCCCUUGGUUUUCAUUUACCAAAAGCUUUAAUUAUUUCUAGUUCCUCCCGUAAUGGACUACUGGUAGCUUCUUGCUUUCUCAUUGGUUCUGGCCUCAUUCUAAUAUCAAAUAUCAAUUCAAAGUCCAACGCUCCGGCCCCCUCCCCACCCCCACUACAUUUGACUUGCCUACUCGUACAUGUGUAUUUAUGAAUUUGUGUACUGGUGGUAAUUUUCAAAUUUGACAUUUGAUUGGCUCUUGACCAUUAUUGAAUUUGUGUAGUUGGGUGCGAUUGUGUGCGUAUGUGUUUUUGUGUGUGUGUGUGCAUGCGUGAUUGUGUGCGAUUGGGUCUUGACCAUUAGAUGGGCUGUCACAUUAUUCUUUUGGUUCAUCCUUCAAAUACCUUGCAAUAUGAUUAUAAUGGAUAGAAACUAAAAAUAACUUGUAAUGAGAUGAAUGAUUUGAGAAUAGAAAAACAUUUGCAACAUAUCAACAAACACUAAAAAAAGGAAGUCAGAAAAUAUUUUCAUUGACAAACCAAACACCGGAAAAUUAUGAAAAAAGGAAUUUGGAAAAUAUUUUCACUAAAUAACCAAACACUAGAAAAUUAUGGAGAAGGAAGUGAUUUUCCAAGUAAAUGACUUUGAUGGAAAAUAUUUUCCUCCGUCCAACCAAACAGACCCUAC
rnacentral:lncRNA from 1 species